CACUCAGUCGGUGUGUUGGUGGUGUGUGCGUCGGUGUGAGAGCACCACGCUGCGCUGCGCUCGCUUGUGCCCGGGCUUCCUGACUAGGUGAGCCCCAGCCUCGCCUUCCAUGGUCGCACUCGCGCCCUCGACGCUCAGUGGAACUCCAACUGAAAGGAAAGGAGGAUUUACCUGUUCCGGCGGCGCCGAGGAAAGUUGACCGUGUGAGACAGCGUGGUGAAGAUGGGAUCGCCACGGCGCUCCAGCCCCCCGUGGCCGACGUGGCUGCUGGUGUGGUUCGCGGCUCCGCUCGCUCUGGCGGCAGUGGCUUCCCUGGAUAUUGAAG